GCAUUUCAUCAACUGCUCAGAAUUCACGUUGAAGAACACACAGCUUGAUAAAAAAUAGCUUCAAAGCUUUUUUGUGGAGGGAAAUACACUGAAGGGGAGCUCUAUUUUUAGGCAUGUGGCACAUAGUGAUGCACUGCUAGGUUUCAUUUUGAUUGAGAACACUCAAUACACUUGAAUGAUAUGUGCAUGUGGCCGCCGCAGGAGCUGCACUGCAUUCGGAUGUAAUGGAUUACAGUCGUAUGAAAUACUGAAUUGUAUUCUGCUCAAUUAGACUUUGAUAACAACCUAUUGAACACUUUCACCCCCUUGAAAACAAUCUAAAUCUUUAAAAUUCUAAUCUUGUGUCUUUCUUCUACUUGGUCAGAUAUCUCUAGUUUUAAAUUAUUUUGUUAUACAUGCUUAAACAUAUAUCUAUGGAUGUAAUGACAAACGUUAAAGGAAAAGCUCAAUACCUAUAAGCUUUAGAUGAGUUAGAUGAAUAGAUUGAAACCACUUCCAUUGCUUAGAAAGAUUAUGAGGCUCUCCCUCCACACAGACACAAAGCAUGAGAAAAGAAAAGAAAGAAAAAUGAAAAAACCUUAUUCUCAGGAGAAAUCUUUGAUUGGUUUUUGAAUUCCUGUACUGCUGGUGUUGUUUGGCCUCAUAUCAUUGAAGCAUGUCCUAUACUGGGACCUGCUUUCGACCAUGAAACCAAAUGUUUUAGGUAUUACAAACAUGAUUUAACCUAAAGUCCAUUAUGGUGUCCUGUACUUGAUGUUUAAUGACUUCACCUUCCUGCUGAAAUAAGCUUAUGUUAGUGAUAUCGCUCUGAUACAAUUGUCAAUUUAUGAAAUUGCAGAGUUCAUUGCAGCGGAGGAAAAACUGUGAUUUGAGUGGUCAUAUUCCACCAAGCUGGCAAUGGCAUCCAAUCAUUUACUCUCCUGCUCAUUAUGGUCUGGCAACAUCAAAUGGAUGUCGUUUCAAGUAUGCUGUACAAAGAGGACCUCCUUUACACACACUUAUAUUAACCUCACUGCACUGUUAGUGGCCAUUGCUGCUGAUUUCCAAUCUGAGAAAACAUGGCAGCUUUCCUGGAAGUGUUGUCAAAUCUAUAACCAAUUAUUAACCACUAAGAAUAUGUUUAAGAUGGAAAAUGCACCAUUUUAUAUCUACAACGCCUUAUUUAGACUUACUUCACGUGGUGGGCUUAAUCUUUAAAUUGUGUCUCUUAACUUUGUGAAGAUAAAGCAGAUGUCUUGAUGAAGGAAACAGGAUUGUUCUCACCAGGAGGAGCUCGAUGGCCCCCAGGAUGUACAUGGCUCCGGCGAAAGUUGUCCCCAGAUAGAAACAGAUCCCCACCGCACCCCCAAACUCCGGGCCCAAGGACCGGGAUAUCAUGUAGUAGGCGCCUCCGGCUGCACACAAACACAACAAUGUUAACAGACAUACUGACCUCACACCUCCUUCACUGUAUCCUUUGUUGAUUCAAAUCAGUAAAGAGGAAUCGACUGCUACCAAGCAUCUGUGUUCUAACACCCAAAGGUGAACAUUGAUACGAUUGAACCAAGACCUACUGUAUAAAGUCCUAAGUGAAUGCCGAGUCAAUAUGUGUGUGAUAAUAUGUUGAUGUCUUUUUAUUAUUCUAUGUAUGAUUUGUAUCUUCAGUGAAAGGAGUCCAGGACACAUUUCCUUACAGGGACAAAUUAUAUCGUACUGUAUCGUGUUUAAGAAAAACAUUUACAUAUAGUAAUUUGAGGCCCAUGAUAUCAGCGUCAGGCCCGUGGUAUGUAACAUACAUAUAUCAUGUGAAGGAGUUUACGUGAGGUCAACGCUGAUUUACUGCCAUGCCUUGUACUAAAGCUGACUGGCUGUUGAUUAGAUACAUAAGAAUGCCACAGGGCCUGUCACCAGCUGUCAAAGCACAUUGAGACAGCCAAUGACGACUCUAAUGCAUAUCCUGUGCUGGGAGCGGGGGGGAGAAACACCGGAACAAAUGUGAGGGCAUGCUAGGAUGGAGAGCAUUGGCUGCCUGCAACACAAACAGAGGAGGAGAGAGAGGCAGGCGGCAAAUGGACCAGGAAGAUACAAAGUCAGAAAUAGAGAGAGAGAGAUAGUGUGUGUGACAGUACAAAGAAAGAAUUAAGAUUUCAUCAUUUUUUCAAAUGCUAUUGUUCAAUUUCUGAGUGUCUUUUCACAUUGUCUGCACAUGAAAGAGAGCGAGGGAGAUGAGAUGUGAGAGCGGGCUGGAAAAAACACAGAGCCAUCUCCUGAAGAACUUCUCACUGCUUUCAUUAUAUUGUCUUCCCAUUUUAAUUGUGUUGUCGCUUACUCUUGAAUGUAUUGUUUGAGUCAUAGUUUUAAAACAAGACCUGCUAUAGUCUGCAGUUUUAUUUUUGCUUUAACUUAUUCAGCAUCAACCCAGUUUAUGAAAUCUUUGACAUUUGCUAAAUCUGCUGUCAGUGUGAGGUGGGUCUUCUCGAUGUUCAUUUGUUUGGAACUCAUAUGUUACAUCUAUAACAGUGGAACAGAAGACAAACAGGCUAAUUCAAAUGUCAACCAUCAUAUCCAUCUAUUUUUAUCUACAGAAAGUUUGGCAAUUCAAAUCUUAGUGACAAUAUCUCACAUUAUGACAACACAAUGGGGGCGGGGGGUGGGGGGGUUACCAAACUACUCAUGAUAAUGACUUAGAGCCUGAAAGAUACAUCUAAUAAUUAAAGAUAAUCACUGACUGGUAUAUUGUUAUCGGCGUAUAAGUCAGCUGAUAAUUGCAGUGCGGAAAUAAAUUAGAAUUUAAUUGUUUAAUGAAAUAGAAGAUCCCUCCAAACAUAAAAAAACAUGUUUGGAGGGGGAGCCUCCUUUUGAAUAAAGCCUAUAGCCUCCGAACAUCCUCCUAGGGUCCUAUAUUUUAUGAUAUUUCAUAUUUUUGUAUUUUUAUUGUAUUUUAUACCAAUUAAUGUUACUCUAUUUGUAUUUUACAUUUUUAUCUUGUAAUGUUACGAUAUUCUAUAUUGAUUUGUAUAUUGUCAUUCAUGUUUGUUGAUCUGUAGCCUACGGAGACAAAUGUGUUUAGUGACAUUGGGCUAUAUUAUAUAAAUACGAUUUGAUGUAAAAAUAA